rnacentral:lncRNA from 1 species
CUGUCUCUAAGAUUUUUCUUGUAAUUUUUUCUUAGUCCCCAUUUUAAGUUUUCUCCUAAUGGCUUCAGGCGAUGUCGAGUUUAGGUGCUUCGUAGGCGGCCUGGCCUGGGCCACCACUGACAGCUCUCUCCAUGAGGCCUUCGGUGCUUACGGCGAUAUCCUUGAAUCGAAGGUCCGUUUGAACCAGAUCCGACCCGAUCCACGAUUCGGCUUGUUCUGAUCUGUGAUCUGUGUGCUCUGUGAUCUGUUUCUGUUACUCUGUUACUGUUCUCUGUUACUACUGUUACUCUAUUAUUACUAUGCCUAAAUCGGUACGUUCAUCUUCAUCUUUUUAUUAAGACGAAGGGCCCGAUCGGAUUUAUUAUUAUUUUUAUUGUUAUUAAGCUUGCAGAUCUGAGAUGAAUUUGCUAAACUAUUUUUUUUUUAUCGUUAAUUCAGAUAAUUAACGAUCGCGAGACUGGAAGAUCCAGAGGAUUUGGAUUCGUUACCUUCCGCGAUGAGAAGUCGAUGAGGGACGCGAUCGAAGGCAUGAACGGCCAGAAUCUCGACGGCCGUAACAUCACAGUCAACGAGGCCCAGUCCCGCGGAAGCGGUGGCGGUGGCGGUGGUGGUUACGGAAGCCGCGGCGGUGGCGGAUAUGGAGGUGGUGGACGCCGUGAAAGUGGUGGUGGUGGUGGAUACGGUGGGAGCCGCGGAUACGGAGGUGGCGGUGGUGGAGGAUAUGGUGGCCGCCGUGAAGGUGGUUACAGCCGUGAUGGUGGAUAUGGCGGUGAUGGUGGUUCCCGAUACUCAAGGAGCGGUGCUUCUGAUGGCGGCAGCUGGAGGAAUUAGUGUUGUUUAGGAUAAAUUAGGAGCUAUGUUAUGGUUUCGUGUUUUGAUAUUUUCCUUGGGUUAUGUUGUGUCGUUUUGAUCGGUUCCUGUUAUCCUGUGUUGUUUCGAUCUCCCUGUUUGGUUAAUUGUUUGAAAAAAAAAUGAAAUGAAUUACAGUUCUUUUCAAUUUCUCUUAGUGCCAUAUCAGAAUUUUGAGGAAGAAACAAGCUUUGACAAACGAAAGUAAACAUAUUCUUUUUAAUGCCCGUAACAUUAGUAUCUGGAUACUGUGAUCAAAAGAGCUUCCCAAUUCUACGCCCGUCAAGCAAGUUAAGCACGUUUAUGGCCAUUCUAAUAGAAAUUAACGCGUGAUGAUUGCUUGCUCAUUUCCCCGAUUCUACGCCCGUCAAGCAAGUCAAGCACAUUAAUGGCCAUUCUAAUAGAAACCACCGCGUGGUGAUUGCUCAUUUUCCCGAUUCUACGCACGUCAAGCAAGUUAAGCACGUUAAUGGCCAUUCUUGUUUGGCCUCGGCAGCCAAAGCAUCUUCAGAGCAAUAGUCCUUCGAAAGUCCAAACUUCCAACACCCAUCCCUACGUGUCGUACCCGUGGCCAUGGACGCCCACUUACGCUUUAGCUGGGCUGGUCUGUAGCGUGCGGCAAUUUAGUAACUGGUUCUUUUAUGGUCUCUGCUUUGGCACAAUCUAGGACACAUGUUAAACAAGAACACAGGCCAUGUACGCUAUGGCCCUCAAGUGUCCAGACGUAUAUUAAUGUUUUGAUUGAACAUUUUAUAAAUUUUAGAUAUUUAGUUAACAAUAAUGGGCUAGUUAUUCUCUCGAGUUUCACUUUGACAAUUGUAGACGCAAACUUUGUUCUUGUCAAAUGCCUCGUUCGCCAUCCUGGUCUCGGAACUAUACUGAUAAUCGUUGAUGGGCAUGGGGUAUGCACCAUUUUGAUUCAUUCACACAAUUUAACUGUGAUGGGUUUUCUACGUUACGUCCAAAGAAAAUUGAUGAUGGUUCAAAUCCAUUUCUUAUAUAAGGACGUUCGGACUUGAUCUGUAUACUAAUAGUCCAUAUAUAAUGCAUGUACCGUGCAGAAGCCCCAGUCCUUGCAGGCAUUUCCGAGGGCCAGAGUGAAUUUGGAACGUUGAUAAGGGUCAGAAGAGUUGAGCAGAGAAAAGUCAUUGAUUGGGAUUGAUUUUUAAUAAGAACAUCUACUCAUCAAGAACUUGCAUAAAAAAUUUUGGUUCCAAGUCUGGGGUAGUUACUACAAAAAUAACUUCAUGUUCUAAUAACUUUUUUAUAGAUCACGUCUUUUUGGAACUUGCCUCUAAAUAUUAAUCAUUAUUUCUAUAUUAAGAUUAAAUAAAUUUAUUUUCUUGAAGUUAUUUAGGAUAAUAAUUUAUUGUUUAAACUUUUAAAAAAAUGACUUUAUAUAUUCUCAACACUAUAUAAAUGAUAAAUAUUAGUACUGGUUUUUUUAAAAUUAUGUUUCUCUUUUAUCAAUGUCUAUAUAUUAGUUUUGAUAGGUUUCAUUAAUUAGUUAUCGAUGUAACACAUACUUUAGGUUUAUAUCGUUUGCACUUAGGACAAUUAAGCCAAAAUAAUAUUUUUUGUAAAUAUAUCUCUAUUAAAUUAUAACCUCCUUAUAAUAAUAAAAAUUAGUUUGUUUUUAACAAUGCGAUUAUAGAGAAUUUUUAGUAUAUUGACUAAAUUAUUCAAGAAUUUUUUUUAGGACCUUGAGUCUCUUCUUGCCUAAUUCUUAAGAUUUUAAGUACCUUAAUUAAUCAUAAUUGUCGUUUGAGUUAGAAAAUGUUCAGAUUUAUUAUUAGUAUUAUUAUUAUUAUUUUGUUUUUAAAUGAUCAUUUACUUUUAUGGGUUCCCAAAUUUUUCUCAAAUAGAUUUUUUGAAGUUUACCUGUAGCCUACGUUAUAGGUCCUUGAAGACUCAAAAGUGUUGCGUGAAAACACAAGAACAAAAACAGAAGCAUAGCUUCCUCUUAUGUUUGGUUUUUAUUUUCUAUUUUUAUUCAUCCUUUUUGCUUCUUUUUUAUGACUAGUACAAUUAUUUUUUCUCAAUAGAGAAUGAAUGUAAUGGUGCUGUACUUGCUCAUAAAUUAUAAAUUUUGUAAUCAUUUCAUUCCACUCCAGUAGUCCUUAAAGAAUUUUGGAAGUUGCUUGAUUAGUAUUAAAAAUUGUUUGAUUAUCAAGCGAUAAAAAUAUUACUUUUAUGUCUAUAUUAUAAUUUAUAUUUUUGUUUAUGCAAUAUAUUAGGAUUAUUAAUUAUGUCUUAAUUAUAUUUAAUUUUGUGUGUUUAUUAGGUAAAAUAUUAAUUUCACAUAAUUCGAGGCUCCAAACAGAUAAACGAAUAUCAAAUUUAGAUUUCGGAGGUCUAAAAACCUUAAGAUGAGUCAAGACCGGCUUAAAUUUGAGCUUGUACAAAAAGUUGAAUUUUUCUGUUGACCAAGCACUGAUUAGAUGAUAAAAUGAGCUUACAAUAGAUAUGAGUGUAUUGGAUAACUGUCAAUUUUGACUAAAUCUCAACCCUUCAUGAUUCAAUUACCACAAUCGUGCCACGUGGCAAUGGUUGGUGAAGCAAGUUGUAGGAUCCAAACCUUUGUAUUCGGGUCGACCCGAUCCACCCAUUAACCCACCAAAUCUCAACUGUUCUUUGACCAAAUCGGAUGCUUCACAAGAUGCCACAUGUAAUGUUGACUUUUGAAGUUUGACCAGCCGUUGGAUCUUGAUCGAAUGGUUGUGUAGACCGCAUGCAUAAAGUUUAUGAUGGACGGCAAUACACUGGAUUAUGAAUUUAUUUUUCUAUAAAUAGAGUCAUUUUGAGCAUCUCUUUUCUUCUCAAUUUCUCUCAAUUUUCCUGUAAUCUUAUUUUUCAAGUGUGUUUUAAUAUUUUGCAUAAUUAUUUUUAUAAAUAAAUUUAUUUUUAUUUUUAUUUUUAGUUGUUUUUAUUACUUUUAAUAAUGAGUAAUUUAAUUUUAAUAAUUAUUUUUAUUUCAAUUAUGCUUAGCUAAAUAAUAAUAGUUAGGGUAAGGUGAAACUCUUAGGAAAUAAAUAUGAUUUAAUCAAAUUCUAUUUUUAUUUAUAUAAAUUCAAUUAUUUUCUAUUUAAUUGUAUACAUAUUUUAUAUUUUGAAAUUUUGAUUUAUUGUAAACAAACAAGAGAGUUUGGCACAAUAAAUUCUUAAUAUUUUAAUAUAAGGUAUGGUAAAAUGGUAUUUUGACUUAUUGUAAACAAAUCAAAUUUUGGCACAAUAAAUACUUAAUCCAUUAUAAAAUUAAUGAGAAAAUAAUAAUAAUUUAUAUAAUUAAUCUUUUGGGCAAUAAAAAAAAAGGUAAAAGGAAUUUAUUAAAUUUUAUUUAUUACUAAGAGUGGAUCCAUAACCCUAACUAAUUUAAUUUCAUAGUUUCAUUUAAAUUAAGUUAUUUACAUUCAAAUUUUAUUUUCAUUUUUAGAUAAAAUAAAAUAAACAAAUUAAAUCUUUUUUUUGUGGAUCGACUUCGGACUCACCAAGCUAUAAUAUAACAAGACAUUUUUAUACUUGGGAGUUAGAAAUUACUUUUAAGUUGUGUUAUUGCUCACUUUUAGUUAAUUUGGUUUCGAGUUGCGGAUUUCAAACACUAAUUGUGUGGUGUAGCUCUAAUUCUGUUGAUGCAUAUAUCUGGUUGGUAGAGUUGCGACCAGGUGUCAACGCCAACAAUUAAAUUUGUUUGUUGGGGUGACGGCUCAACAUUACAACUUUUCCACUUGAGCAGUUAGCUUUGACCACGAACUUGCUGCACCAGAUCACUUGUGAUCACAAUAUUCAAUUAGAGGGCCGCUUGAUGUUUUUCUGACGAAAACCCUCCAACGCUCAAGUUAGUCAUUGGGAUUUUUUUGAAAAACCUUGUGCCACAAUUUCAAAAUGAAAGAAAGAUAGAGGAGAGCGAAUUAUCGAUAGGGAAGAAAAGUAUAUAAGAAUCUACUGAAAAGUUCUCUAACCCCUUUUACUUCCAUUCCCUAUAGCUUUCAUAUCCGACCGGAAUUAUCGGCCUCCUUUCCCCAACAUUUGUUACUGGGUCGGUUGCAUAACCGUGGGUGAGUGGGCAGCGUAACUGCUAUUAAAUGGACUUCAUGCUCAAAUUCUUUGGAGGAAACCCAUGGCUUGACCUUUGACCAAGUUUUCAAUCUGGCUUGAUUCUAGUCUCUCCUCUCGUGUCCCCAUGAUACUCCCACGAGGUAGUCAACAAUACUAGUCGCAUCCUCGCCCUUCCAAAGUCAGAGAAAAUGCUCUACAUCUUUGCACCUGUGUAAAGCCUUGUACCCUUAUUGAAACGCUCAAUGUGUACUAGAGGGUCGCUUUUCCUAGAGUAUUUGAGAUUGGAAAAAUGGAAAUCCCUAGGUAUUGUGGUGUUGAUAAUUUCUAAAGAAAAUGGGGACUCGUUAUCCAACAUGAUUCUCCAAUUGGGAAGCUUUUCUCGUCUUUGCAUCUCGUCAAUGAUCUUAGCCAAUCUUCUCACCUCGCCUUCUAAUUCCACCGCUCGACCAUGAUUGUAGGCAGCGACCUAUUCGCACUCCUGUUUGAUAUCGUGGAGAUGCUUCCCCAACUCUCUCUUUUCAAUGUUCACUUCUAUUUUUGUAUUCCCCAUAUUUUGACUGCCUCAAAUUGAUUUCCUACCCCAUGGUUUUACUCACCACAAAAUUGACUCCCAGCACCAGGAUUUAGCUCACUGUGGAACUGGCUCCUUAUUCAUGAAUCCCACUCACCUGGAUCUGCUCUAUUACUGGAUGUUAGGACAUCCUGAUUAUUCCUCAAACCUCCAGCAUCAAACCUUCGUUGCACAUCCCUCAACUCAUGUAAAACAGCUGUGAGGGUCUCCAUUCGCUUAUCCGUUCAUGCAUUGCUCUUUCCCUUACUUCAUUCACUAUUUCCCGCAAGGUGAUUAACUCAUUGAUUCUAAACUUGGCCCCUUGGGCAUCAUUUCCUCUUGUAUCCAUGCUCAUUAUCCUUUCUUUUUCUUAAUUGCUUCAUUAGUUAUAGCUUUUUGUUUCGUCACCACAGACGGCGGUAAAAUAUUAAUGCAGAUAUAUGAUCGGUAGAGUUGCAACUAGAUGUCCACACUAACACUUAAAUUUGUUUGUUAAGGUAACGGCUCAGCACUGCAGCUUUUCUACUCGAACAACUAGCUUCGACCACAAACUUGUUAUACCAAAUCACCUGAGCUCACAAUAUUUAGUUAGAGAGGUCUCGAAUGUUUUUCCAAUGAAAAUCCUCUGAUGGUCAAGUCAGUGAUCAGGCCUUUUUUGGAAAAACUUAUGCCACAAUUCAGGAUAGAAAGCUUAAUUUUAGAAAUAAAGAAAGAUAAAAGAGAGAGAAUUAUCUAUAGAGAAAAAGAUAUGAGGAUCUAGUGAAAAGUUGUCAAACACUUUUUAAUUCCAUUCCCUGAAGCUUUUAUAUCCGACCAGAAUUAUCGGUCUCCUCUCCCCUACAAUUGUUAUUGGGUCGGUUAUAUAGCCUUGGGUGAAUGGGCAUCGUAAUUUGUUGUUGAGUAGGCUUCACAUUCGAAUUUUUUAAAGAAAACCCAUGGGUUGACCUUUGACGAAGUUAUUCGAUCUCUCUUGAUUCUAGUCUCUCCCUGGUCUCUCCUCGCGCGUCCUCAAGUCAACUUUACUCACGCGACCAACCACACAACUCGUCGGGGAUAAUUUUCCUCGAGGAGUCAUUUUAAGCUGAGGGGAGCAUGUUAUGCUCAUGUGUGCUUGGUCACGAUGCUUUUCACCCCAAACAGAUUCAAACACUAAUUUGUUGUUGGAUUAACGUCUUUAUGACAGUGUAUUGGUGUCGAGGAGCUUGAAUAGCCAUCCAAAUCCAAAAAGGUUCGAGUAUGACUAGGAACUAACAAGAUUUGGAGAAGACAAGGGAAAUGAAAUGACAAAACUAACUUGACUCCAUUCUACAAGCUAUUUGCAUUAGUAGAUUCUAUGAUGUAUUGACAUUGCUACUAUGUGAGAUGACUGACUCUUUUGGCCAAAACCAUAUUAGCAACGGCUGAUGCAACUUCUAAGGUAAUUAUGAAUGCUAUUGAAGUUUCAACUUAAAGGAAUAAUUUUGAGUUUUAUCAUUUAGUUGAAUAUAAGUAAUAUCCUUUGUAUUGAAUAUAAGUAAUUUUCUAUGACUAUAUGUAAGUCCAAGUUAACAAUUAAGUUAAUCGUUAAGAAAAAUUUAUUAUUAUUGUUGUUGUUAUUGUUAAGUAUUAAAAAGAAAUUUUAGUAAAGUAGGGUUUAAGUUAGUAAUUAGUAUUUCAUUUUCUUAAUAUUAUUAUUUUAUUGUUAUUGAAUAUGGACUUGAGUUUUGAAUUUUUUAUUUUAUUGAAUUUGAUUAAAAGCAGAUAAACCUGAAAAAGUACAUAAACUUGAAAUAAUCACACUAACAACUUGGCAUGCCCUCUUAAAAAAAAGGUUUAUCAUGCUUUUUUUCUCAGGCACGGCAUGACAUGGCCCACAGCACAGCACGUGUGCUAGGUUGGGCCUAAGUAAAAAAAAAAAAAAAAGACACGAUACAGGACAGCAUGGCACGACCACGAGCACACAUGAGCCUUCCUUUGAUGAGUUGGGUCGGCACGGCACGGCCCAUUGGUCAUCUCUACUUUGGACAUGAUAUCUCGGGCUUAAGUUCACAUCUUUAUAAACACUAAAAAGUUCCAAUGACAAAACAAUGCCUUGUGUUUGUUUUGCAUGUUUUUUAUGCUUUAAUGAUAACAACCAUUGGCAUAUCUCAAUUCAGCUCAUUUGGUUCUAAUUCGACCAAAGAGAAGAAUGUUGUUGCUUCAAGUUUCGCAAUCUAGACUGCAAGUCGAAGAUAGGCGCCAAUGAUGAAUUCAGGACAAAGUUGGACAAUGUUAAAGGAGAAAUAGAGCUUCAUCAUGUAAGUUUUAAAUAUCCAUGAGGGUCAGAUAUUCACAUUUUCCAAUAGAUAGCCUGAAAAUUCUUACUGCCAAUGUGACUACUACUAAACUCCAUUCUUUGAAGCAGUUGAGACAAACAAAAAUCACACCAUAUGAUUAGGGUCUAAAUUAUAUUAUCCUUCUGUUAGUUUUUUUCCUUUUCUCCUUUUAGAUCGUUACUCUAAUUGGAGAAAGUGGGAGUGGGAAAUCAACAAUAAUAUCAUUGUUGCAAAGAUUCUAUGUUCCUGAUUCAGGAUGCAUUAUGGUGGAUGGAGUGGAAAUUCAAAAGCUCCUACUAAAAUGGUGAAGGCAGUAGAUAGGCUAGCGAGCCAAGAACCUGUUAUGUUCAAUGACACAAUCCGCAGCAACAUUGCUUAUGGAAUGGGAGGGAAUGCAACUGAACCUCAAAUUCUAUCCACAUCAAAGCUGAGCUGCCAACUUCACAAGUUCAUUAGUAGUCUACAACAGGUUAGAUUAUUACAUAAGUCACGAUCCUAUAUACUUUCAUUGUACAAGUAAAUAUGUCACUUCAAUAUAAUGUAAUGUGGAGUGUGGGGGUACGAGACAAUGGUUGGAGAGCAAGGACUUUAAUUGUCAGGUGGUCAAAAGCAACGGGUAGCCAUUGCACGUGCCAUAGUUACAAAUCCAAAGAUAUUAGUUUCAGACGAAGCUACCAGUGCACUUGAUGCUGAAUCGAAACCUGUAGUUCAAGAUGUAUUAGAAAGCGUAAUAAAGAACCAAGCAAUAAUUGUGGUGGCCCAUUGUUUUGCGAUUACAGUGGAGAAAGGAAAUCAUGAGAUUUUAAUUGACAUCCCAUAUGAGUUUUAUGCCUACCUAGUAGCACUUCACUCUAGUGCUUCAACUUGCUGAGUUGUAUGUGGAUAGUAAGUUUGGUACAUUUGUGAGUGAUUUUCUCUUUGGUGAGUGAGAUGAGAAACUUGUAGGGGAGAAAUAGAUAUGGCCAAUGGGCUAGACGGCACGUGGCACGGGACGACACGAGCACGUUUCGGUGAGGCACGCGGCACGGCACGGCGUCCAUGUGGGUUGGGUCGGGCUUAGAAUUUUAGGCAAGCGGGCUUUAAAAGCACAGCACGAUUAGAGAUGAGCUAAGUACAGCACGAUUAGAGAUGGGCUAAGCACGACACGAUAAAAAAGCCCACAAUAAGCACGUUUUAUUUUUUAAUGAAAGUAAACUUAAAAUUUUAUGAUUUUACAAAUAACUUGAAAUUGAAUUUUUUAAAUUCAUUUAAUUCUUAGUUUAAAAAAAAUACUAUAAUUGAUUUAUAUUUAUAAUUUAUUAAAUAAAUAAUUGAUAUCAUGAUUUUAAUGAAUAAAAAAUUAUAAAUAUCAUGAUUUUAUUAAUAUGCAUUAAUAUUAUUGUGAACUAUGAUCUAUGACUCUAUGUAAGUCCAAGUUAACAAUUAAAUUAAUCUUUAAGAAAAAUUUAUUAUUAUUAUUAUUGGUGUUGUUGUUAAGCAUUAAAACAUAUUCUAACACUAUAAGGUCAAACUUAGUAAUGAAUAUUACAUUCUCUUACUAUUAUUAGUUUUAAAAUUUUGAUUCUAUUAAAUUUGAAUAAAGACAUAAAUUUAAAAAAAGUACAUAGACUUGAAAAAAAGUACGUCAAUAGCUUGAUAUGCACUCUUAAAAAAUAAAAAAAUAAAUAAAUAUAUUUAUUGGACUUUUUUUCUUAGGCAAGGCACGGCACGACCCACGGCACGUGUGCCGGGCCGAGCCUAAGCAAAAAAAAAAAAAAAGGCCCGGCACGGNNNNNNNNNNNNNNNNNNNNNNNNNNNNNNNNNNNNNNNNNNNNNNNNNNNNNNNNNNNNNNNNNNNNNNNNNNNNNNNNNNNNNNNNNNNNNNNNNNNNNNNNNNNNNNNNNNNNNNNNNNNNNNNNNNNNNNNNNNNNNNNNNAAAAAAAAAAAAAAAGGCCCGGCACGGUGCGGAUACGAGCACGCAUGGGCCUCACUUUGAUGCCGGCGCCCAUUGGCCAUCUCUAGGGAGAAAUUUGUUCAUCGAAACAAGAUCUAGAACCUUUGAGGAAUCAUCAUCAUGUAAUAAACAUUUCUUCUUCGUGAUUUUUUUGCUUUGUAGGGUGCUGAAGUGAGAGCUACUUAAUUUGCAAUCAGAUGAAUUUUUUGUUACAUUCAUGGGCCCAAAAAUCUUUCAUGGCCAUUUUUCUCAAACCAACAGAGCUUUUGGGCCACACUGAAACUGGAUUUACGGAUAAGGGAUAUGUAUCUCAAUGUUAUCGAAUAAUUGAAUUGAUAAUUUUACUUAUUUUUUUAGCAUUUUAUUAAAAUAAUUAAAAAUAAAAGUUUGAAAAAAUAAAAGUGCUUCUUUGACAAGAAAAGCAUAUCAAACACUUUUGAGUCGAGAUUAAUGCUAUUUAUCUUUCCAUAGAUAGAUUAUAAUUGUACAAAUUAGCUAAGCAUUAUAAAAUUAUUACUAUGCUAUGGCAUGUUUCAAAAGACUAUAUAUAUAUAUGUUCAAAGUCAAAAUGAUUCUAUCCUAUAAUAUGAUUAUAACUAAAUUGUUUACUGAGUCAAACAACAAUUGUCAACUAGAUUAUUUAUUUUGGUUCAAAGAAGUGGUGGCAUGUCACUACAAACUUCUAACAAUAUUGUCAAAUAAAUGCAAACUAAAGCAACUCUUUUCAAGAUAUCAGAAUAUCGAGUUAUCAACCCUUCAACAUCAUGAUUUUUAAUAAAUCAAUUUGGACCAUUCAAACAUGAUGAAGUUUUGCCUUGCAAGGAAUCCUCAGUUUACAUAAAUAUUGAAGGAAAUUUUGAAAUUUUUAUGCUGUGUGGCUUGACCAUGAAUAAAUAAUGUACCAUUUUCUCUGUUAGAUCGAAUAAGUUUAGGGUACAAAUUAGUUUAAUAAUUCAAUGAUUUGUUACUAUCCACGGUCUUCCAAUUUUGUACAUCUUUUAUGACAUCAAAUUAAUUAAUUUUGUGCUAAUUUUGAAUCAUUCAUUCAGAAUGUCAAUUAUUGUCAAUAACUCUUUAGUUGAGUAGAUGGGCGCUACCUCACUGUAUUCUUUAAGUUGAGGGUUUGAGUUUCUUUGUAAAUAUUAGAGCAUAUUUUAUUCAUUCUUUUCUUUGGUGCAUCAAAGUAGGUCCAGCAAACAUAUUGAGCUAUAUAUCAAAAUAUUCUGAUAGACAUACGAAAAUAUUUUAUAAUUACACAAAGUCAUAAUUUUUAGAUUAAUAAUAAACAUCUCAAAAUUUUAUUCUUAAUUUCAUCUUCGAUGAUGUAAUAUAUAUACUUCUCAAAUGGUUGAUAAUCAUAAUUUUUAGAUUAAUGAUGAUAUCCCAAAAUUUUAUUCCUAAUUUCAUCUCAGACAUGUGAUAUAUACACUCAUCAAAUGAUUGAUAAUUUUUCACUAGUUAAUUGCAGGUAAAUUAAUAACAUUAUCUCACCCCUCCAAUUGAUAAAUACUAAAUCAUUUGGAAUAAAAUUUUAACAAAUCUAAAACUACUCUAAUUGUUAACUUGGUAACUAACUUUGAGAUAUGAUUAAUUUGAUGACUUAGUCCCAAUACCAUUAAAGAACAAAUAAAUAAAAAGAACCAAUGAUUGGGAAACAAGUUAUAUCAAAAUUUAUUUUCACUAGCAUGAGAAUAAUCACCAACAAUCAAGAAAAUGACCUUCCUUAUAAAGUCAUUAAAAGUGGUAUCCAACAAACACCUAUACAAACGUGUGAAAUGAUUUGUAGUUUCAUUCUACUUGCUCGAACUUAGCACCCAUCAUUUCUAGUUCUACCCUUUCGAUUUCAUCAUUAGAUGUUGGGUUAUUUAUGCUUCAAGUAAAAAGAAUCUUAAGCAAUAAUUUAGUGUAACUUGUAGGCCUACCUUGAUAAUUAUUCCUUUUAUAAAGUUAUUGCUUGAUGCUGCUGAUGUAAUGCUUGCUAUAUACAUUAAGUGUCUCCUCACCACUCAAGAUUUGAUAGUGGAAGCAUUCAUAUUAUUGAUGUUUCUAGACAACGUGUAUGCACUUUUGGGCAUCUUUUGAAUUGGAUGGUUGAUAUCAUUUUAUUUAUGUUAUGUUUACUUCGGAAUUCGGAAUAGGAAUGGUUAAUGAUGUUUAUUUUGCUAAAAUAGAAGUAAAAAUAAGAAUGAAAUAAAUGAGACCCACAUAUUUUCGGAAUCAAUGAAUAAUAACUUGAUUUUCAUGAGAGGGAUAGGAAAUCAAGUUCUCAUUCCUUGAACUUCCCAUUUUACCCCACUCAAAUUUUAUAAUUUCACUUUUGUCAUAUAAUUAUAUUAUGUUAUUGUAUUAUUGUUAUCACUAUUCUUAUUUAUGUAAUUAUUUUUGUUAUUAAUAAUAAUAAUUAAUGAUGAUGAUGACGACGACGAUAAUAAUUUUAACAAUAAUAAUAGUAUUAAUUAAUGAUAAUUAAAUUAAUAAUUAUAACAGUAAUAAUAUUAUUAUUAUUAUAAAAUUUUAUUAUUAUUACUACUACUGUUGUUGCUACUGCUACACGACUAUUAUGAUCAUCAUUAUCAAUAUCAUUAUUAUUAUUAUUAUUAUUAUUAUUAUUAUUAUUAUUAUUAUUAUUAUUAUUAUUAUUAUUAUUAUUAUUAUUAUUAUUAUUAUUAUUAUUAUUAUUAUUAUUAUUAUUAUUAUUAUUAUUAUUAUUAUUAUUAUUAUUAUUAUUAUUAUUAUUAUUAUUAUUAUUAUUAUUAUUAUUAUUAUUAUUAUUAUUAUUAUUAUUAUUAUUAAUAAUUAUUUUGAAUAAUAAUAAUCACAAUUAUUAUAAUAAAUAAUAACAAUUAUUAUUAUUAUUAUCAACUAAGGUCAUUUUAGUAACUUAUAACAAUUCAUUAUGAUUCUAAAAUAAAGUAAAUACAUCAAUGGCAAUAUAAUUCAUUCCACUUCUGAUUCAUAUAGCUAAAGUAAACAAUUUAUUUUGAUCUCAUUCCCUAUUCUUAUUUCAGUUCACUCUGAUUUUAACUCAUUUCGAUUAUCAUUUAGUAAACACACCAUCAAUUUUUGCAAUAGAUAUUUUAACAUGCCUAAUCUUUAUGUACCCUUUAGAAUACGAAUUUAAAGCUAAAAAAAUACUUCUAAUCAUAAUAUUAUAAUUACAUAAUAUCAUUUAAUUAAUUUUAAAUUUUUAUUUUAAAACGUGUGAACGUCGUAUUAAAUAAUAACUAUCCAUCGAAAUAAUAUUUAGGGAAAAUGUAUCCGGUUAGACAUUCAAUAUGUUUAUUAUUGGGCCGCACCAAUUUAAAGCAAAAACAUCAUGAAUUAUUUGAACUUUAGGUGAGUACUUGAAAAAGGUGUCUAAAUUAUAAAGAAUUAAUCAGCCUCCCACCUAGAUUCCCAAAUAAAUAAAUAAUAAUAAUAAAUAAAUAAAUAAAAUUCAACCUCCCACCCAACACACGAGCACACAAUCUCGUGCAUGCAUGUUGCCUGCGUGCAAGCCACCACUUCAAGCAGUAUUUUAACAAUUGAAACAUGACAACUUAGAUUUUGUACCUAAUUAUUCUUCUCAAUAACUUUCUUUUUUCUAAUUUUUUAUUAUCAAUUUUUGUUGUAUGUAAAUGCAAUCACCAAAAAGUUUAAAGCAAUAAUAAAGUGAAACGGUUGUUCUAAAAUGUAAAGAAAUUUGGAUUUUUCUUCAAAGAUAGAAGCUAAUUAAUUAAUUAAUUAAUUACACGAUCAACUUAAUUAAUUUUUUUUUUUACGUACAUAGUCUAGAGUUUAAAGUAAAGGUAUUUACAUAGGAGAAAUUUUAGAAUAUAUCAGAAGUAUCGCGUAAGUCAUACAUAAAUAAAUAAUAUUAUGUCAUACGUUUAUUUAUUUUUUAAAAAAAUCAACAUAUAAGUAAUAGUUAUAUUAAAUUUAACUACACAUGUUAUACAGACAAAUUUAAUUGAAUUACAUCUAAUGUAACAUAAAUUUUCUCCCUUAUAUAGACUAUAUAGUAGAGGGAGUUUAUUAGUUUGAUGCCAAUGAUUAAUUAACCAGGUGCCAAUCAUUUGUGGACAUGCUUCAAUUAUACUAUAAUAUCAUCAUAAUCAUGGAAACUAACAAUGCUUGAACCCAACCUUACCUGUCAGGGCCAACAGGCAAAGCAAAUAAUGAAUUUGGUCCGUAAUAAUUGAGUGUGAACUGGAUUAAAGGAUUUUCAAAUUCAAUCGUUCAGAUUCUUAAAAUUAUUGUUAAAAACAAUUAAGUGUUAAUUUGAUCUGUAAGGACUAAAGAAAGAAGCAAAUAAUUAAUUCAGUCACUUGGGUCAAUGAUAGUACCAAAUGUUGGAUGUAUAGAGACUGAUUAAUCAUAAUCAUAGUCGUAUAAUAUAAUCUCUUUUAUUCAUCAUACUAUCAUUAACUGAUUGUCUUAUGUGUUUUACGUUUUGUUUAGCUGCAAACACAUAAUUUGAGCUGAUGUAAAAAUAAGCUAUAAUUAUAAAAUAAAAAUUAAUAGAGGGUAAUAAAUAUAAUUUGAUAAAAACAAUAAAAGUGUUAUAUAUUUUUUAUCAUAUAAGCAGUGAAUCAAAUUAGAUCAGUUUUCAAUCCACAACAACUUAUAUUUACUAAAUACUUUAAUCAUAAAACUAUUAAGUUACAAUUUCUCAAUUUUAAUACUAAACGGGACUUCAAAUUUCUUUGGAGACUUUAGCAUAUUCAGGAUAUUGGAGAUAUUGAGUGGAGACAGCUGGGACCAUACUUAGUUUCUUUCUCUUCUUUAGAUUUUUUAGAUAGUUGGGACCAUACUUAGUUUCUUUGGCAUCUUUAGAUUUCUUAGAUUACUUAACUGACAAUGUAAGAUCCAAUUUGGCAAUACAUAUAUUUUCUUUCUUUCAAGAAAGGAAAAUACAUAGGCAAAAAUAAAAAAUCAAGAGAAAUUCCUGAAAUAAAAACACUUGAAGUGGUAGCAUUUACCAAGAUUUGGAUUGAAAAUCAUUUUGAAAGGACAUACGAACGAACUCAUUGGAGCACAUAAUAAUCGUCCUAUGUGGGAGCAAAUAUCGCCAAAUAUUGGGGGCGUAAAUUUCGAGCAAGAGUUAUCAUUAGUUUGAUGCGGAGUAUAACUAUGAUUACGAUCCUCUCUAAUAUGAACUCUUCUUAAUCUUUUAUUGUGUCACGUGUUUUAUAGUAUUAGUGUAUUAUUAUAAUUUAAUUAUUUUUAUUUAGUAAUUUAUUAACUAUCAAUCAAUCACUUGAGUGAAUUUUAAUUAGCAGAAAGUCACAUAACCAGAAGAUUUUAAUCCUAACCUAUAAAAGUUCAAUAUUGAUCUGAUUUUUGAAUUAAUUUUUCAGAAAUGUGUGAUUUAUAGUAAUUAUUUAUUCAAUAUUUCGAUAAGAAUACAUAAAUUAAUUAAUUUACAACCGCACAUGUUAUUAUAAAUGUAUGCACGACAAAAGAUUAUAAAAAUAAAAUAUAAGAACAAAGGACGAUUAACAACACUAGAGGCAAAUUCAUCAAUAGGCUUUGAAUAUUUUAAAUGUGCAUAGGUGUCAAUUUCAAAUAGCAAACAAUUGAAAAGAAAAUUACAAUUGUUGUUUUAUGUUCAUUAUGGUAAAAGAUCUUCUUAUUAUAUCUUAAAAAAUUAACGUUAUAUUUUUAUAAAUUUAUAUCUUAAUUUAAGAUAUUCUUAAAUAUAAAAUUUAGAACAUGUAAUAAAUAACUUACAAAAUGUCAUUAAACAAAAAAAAAAAAGGAGGAACGAUAAUAUGAAAAAGUAUUCUGACCCAGCAACUGAAAAUAUCCACAAAUUAAAAGUCGUGUGGAUGAUGGCAGGGAGAAGUGGAACGGCAGCCGACAAUUUGAGGGAGAAGGCAAGCGGCACACAUAACCUAAGCAUCAAAGUGGUGGUUGACUGACUUUAUUUUUUCUUAUUAUUUACGCGCAAUUUUGACGCCCAAUUGGAGGCUGGAGCUGACUCAGUCCACAUACAUCGAAGAAGGAAGAAAAAAAAAAGUUGACUGUAUAAUCUAACUAAAUAAAAAAAUAUUUAUAUAUAUACUCUCAUAAUCUCUUUUUUUUUUUUUCAUGAAUUUAUGAAUAGUAACAUUGUAAUAUGUCAAACCCAUAUUUUAAAAUGCGUAUGUUUAUACAACAUUUUAUACAUAUAUAAAUGUGGCAUUUUUUAAUUACUGAUGGUUAAUAGUCAAUAAAAAUAAAAAAAAAGAUUUAACUAUUUAACGACGCUCAAAUUUUAAGAUAUGAUACUUUUAAAAUACGGCAAUCACAGACCCUUAUAAUGUCUACCAUUUAAUUCUUUAUUUCCUUUUUUUAUUAUUAUUAUUAUUAUUAUUGAAGCUAACAAGUAGAACAAUGGAGGGUGCAUGUGUCCCCCCUACUAUUGAUGAUACAAAAUGAAUUUACGUGACACGAAAUGAAAAGGAGAUCCACUCUCCCUGACAAAAAGGGUAAACUAAAGUGCGUUGACCAUUAUUAUGAGUGUUUGACCCUCCAGUCCUGUCCUAUAUAUCCCACUUUUGUUUAUUUUUUAUUUUUUGUAACGGCAUGUAAUUAAGUCGAAUCCAAGAAACGAUAAAAUAGAAUUCAAUAACUCUAAUAAUCUUUCUUAAUUAUACGCUGUUCUUGAAAAUGGGAUUAUCAACAAUGAGCGCAUCCACACAUGCAUUGCAAGUUAAAGAAGUAGGGCUCGUAUGCUGGUUCAAAAUUAGGCAGCUGAAAAGGAGGUUGAUUGGGUUACGUGAGGAAAAUAU